UCAGCUGUCCUAUACAACGACAGCGAGCUAGCCUCCGUUUUGUUUAACAAACUAGAAGUGACGUCACCCAACAUCGCUUAGAGCAG